GCUUUGCAGUCCGAGUUGUAAGCUAGAGAAGUGNNAUCUGUGCUGGACCACAUAUGAGUCUGUUGGAAUAUAGUGUCAAAGAGGGUGAGAACCCCGUUCGUGAUGUGGACGACCAGUGCUCUGUGUUACACUCUCAAAGAGUCGAGUUGUUUGGGAAUGCAGCUCAAAUUGGGUGGUAAAUUCCAUCUAAAGCUAAAUAUUGGCGGGAGACCGAUAGCGAACAAGUACCGUGAGGGAAAGAUGAAAAGCACUUUGGAAAGAGAGUCAAAUAGUACGUGAAAUUGUUGAAAGGGAAACGCUUGAAGUCAGACAUGCUUGCGGGGUUCAGUCUACCGGAUUUACUCCUCCGCUUUGCAGGCUAGCAUCAGUUCUGUGGAUUGGAUAAGGGCUUGGGGAAGGUGGCAUCUUCGGGUGUGUUAUAGCCUCUUGCUUGAUGCAGUUCAUGGGACUGAGGAUCGCAGCGCGCCUUUUGGCAUUGGCUUUGGCCUUUCCGCGCUUAGGAUGCUGGUGUAAUGGCUUUAAACGACCCGUCUUGAAACACGGACCAAGGAGUCUAACAUGCUCGCGAGUGUUUGGGUGUCAAACCCGGACGCGCAAUGAAAGUGAAUGCAGGUGGGAUCCAUUANGUGCACCAUCGACCGAUCUGGNUUUUCUAUGAUGGAUUUGAGUA
rnacentral:rRNA from 1 species